rnacentral:rRNA from 1 species
AAUCAACGCUGGCGGCGUGCCUCAGACAUGCAAGUCGAACGAUUAAAGCUCUCUUCGGAGAGUGUAUAGAGUGGCGCACGGGUGAGUAACACGUAAGUAAUCUACCCUCGAGUGGGGAAUAACAACCGGAAACGGUUGCUAAUACCGCAUAAUGCAGCGGCACCGCAAGGUGACAGUUGUUAAAGAUUUAUCGCUUGAGGAGGAGCUUGCGGCAGAUUAGCUAGUUGGUAGGGUAACGGCUUACCAAGGCUACGAUCUGUAACCGGUCUAAGAGGACGGUCGGUCACACUGACACUGAAUAACGGGUCAGACUCCUACGGGAGGCAGCAGUCGGGAAUUUUGGGCAAUGGGCGAAAGCCUGACCCAGCAACGCCGCGUGAAGGAUGAAGUAUUUCGGUAUGUAAACUUCGAAAGAAUGGGAAGAAUAAAUGACGGUACCAUUUAUAAGGUCCGGCUAACUACGUGCCAGCAGCCGCGGUAAGUGACGUCAGA